CCUACGGGUGGCAGCAGUGAGGAAUAUUGGUCAAUGGUCGGAAGCCUGAACCAGCCAAGCCGCGUGCGGGAGGACGGCACUACGUGUGGUAAACUGCUUUUGUCCGGGAAUAACGCCCGUGACGCGUCGGCGUUUGAGUGUACCUGAUGAAAAAGGACCGGCUAAUUCCGUGCCAGCAGCCGCGGUAAUACGGAGGGUCCGGGCGUUAUCCGGAUUUAUUGGGUUUAAAGGGUGGGGAGGCGGCGUGUUAAGCGGGCUGUGAAAGCUCCGGGCCCAACCCGGGCCUUGCAGCGGGAACUGGCGGGCUCGAGUCCGAGGAAAGCAGGCGGAAUUCGCGGUGUAGCGGUGAAAUGCAUAGAUAUGGCGCAGAACCCCGAUUGCGAAGGCAGCUUGCUGCAGCGGCACUGACGCUGAUGCUCGAAAGCGUGGGUAUCGAACAGGAUUAGAUACCCGUGUAGUC
rnacentral:rRNA from 1 species